GACGAACCGUGCGAACGUUGUUCGGAAUCACUGGGCUUAAAGGGCGCGUAGGCGGGCUGUCAAGUCUGGGGUGAAAUGCCGCGGCUCAACCGUGGAACUGCCUUAGAUACUGACGGCCUCGAGGGAGGUAGGGGCGUGCGGAACUGUAGGUGGAGCGGUGAAAUGCGCAGAUAUCAGGAGGAACACCGAUGGCGAAGGCAGGUCUCUGGGCCACUACUGACACUCAAGUGCGAAAGCGUGGGGAGCAAACAGG
rnacentral:rRNA from 1 species